CCAACCAACCAAAGAAACAAAAAGAAAGACUUUGGGAACACUCUGAUCCAGUUUUGUUCAAUGAUAGAGCAAUUCCCAUGCAGAAUUCAUGUGUAAGAGUGGAGAAGUGAGCAGCUGUGUGGCUGCUGGCUGGGGCCAACCCACCACAGCGAGAUCACCAGGUGGUUACCAAGGCCCUUGUGAAAUGACCAAUAAAAGUUCUGUGAUACUAACUCAAGAAGAAGGGGUUAAAACACAGACUGACUUGAAAUAUGAGAAUAAAAUGGAAGAGAAUUCAAGUUGGUGAAAGAAAUAAAAUGCUGCAGUCAAUAUUGCCAUCAAAUCAUCAAAGGCAUCUGAAAAGACAAACAGCACCAGCAGAGUAUGAUUAGGCUCAAGGGAGUAAUUGGCUGAGGUGGAUAAAGCAGACCAAUUUGAUUUCUUCAGACAGCCUCCAUUCUUCACACUGGCAGCCAAGUGCCCUCUCAGGGCACGAGAAGGAAACCUUUGCAAACUCCUGUCUGGAUUCCUGACAAGUGCCUCCUCUGUUUACUAAAGAAACCCCAUGACUACUUUCUCUGCUGUCCUGUCCAUGUAUUUAUGUUAUAGAUUAUACUGUGCUGAUUGCAAAUAUGUGCCUUCUCAGCAGCCAGCCAGACAAACCUUGUCUUCUCAGCCAUAAAUUUAACAUUUUAAAUAUGAAUGGAAA